rfam:Picea glauca, whole genome shotgun sequence.
GCAAUGGUGUCUUUAGACACCACCACCACUUUCAGAUCCUCUAUU